AAAAAAACAAACCCUGGUUUUCGUGUCUAACGUUUGACCGUCUGUCUUAUUUAAAAAAAUUAUGAAAAAAUAUUAAAAAGAUAAGUCACGCAUAAAGUAUUAAUCAUGUUUUAUCAUCUAACAACAAUGAAAAUACUAAUUAUAAAAAAUUUCAUAUAAGACGGACAGUCAAACGUUGGCACGGAAACCCAGGGUUUGCCUUUUU
rfam:Oryza sativa Japonica Group DNA, chromosome 5, cultivar: Nipponbare, complete sequence.